rnacentral:sRNA from 1 species
UACUCUUUUUCUUGAUAUAUUGACUAUUGAUUUCUUACUCAGACUAUGAUUUGUGUUAUAUGAUCAUGUUUGAGUAGCUUUCUUGUUAGGGUUAGGGUUUCUCAUCAGGGAUUUAGAUGAUUUAGUAGGUUGCUCCCUAGCUCGGUGAUCUGUAGGAUUCUUCAUCUUGAUUGUUCUUAAUGCUAAUUCUAGAUUGAUCACCUAGAACUUUAUUUUAGAUAAUAGGUAUACCCACCAUAGGUACUUGUUACCAAAACUAUCAUAGAUAAGCCUUAGUAUUUAAGAAAAAACAGGUAGGCUCAUAGAAGGGCUCGGGUUUAUAUACUUAGGUGAACUAAUGAUAAUAAUGUAUGUUUAAGUAUAAGAUUUCACAGCUUCAACGGGAAUCUUAGCUCUAGGCAUAGUGAAUUUCACGGAACACCACCGAUUAUUUGAUAAGUAGGUUCUUAGGCCUACUUAUUUUGCUGAAUGUGAGGUUCAGUUCAAUUCCCCUUAAACACUAACAUGUCGAUGCAGCUAUAGGGGGUGUCAAUCCAGUCCACUGUUAUUGCUAGCAAUCAAGAUGUGUACAGAAACAACUAAGUUAAGCCAGAUUAUAAUGAUGGUGGGUUUCUAGUAACAAUCCUAGGUCAGGAUUCAAACAGGUAAAAAUGAGAACUUAAGAACCUUACUCGAUCAUUAGGUCGAGUAGAACCAACAUGCAGAACUAAAAUGCAAUCAACAUGGGAUACAAAUAACAUGUAAAUAAAGUAUAAUCAGGGGGUGAAUACAAAUAAAUCUAAGAAGAAUAGAAGUCCUAAGGAUUGAUUCAUUGAUAAGGACAACUCUAGGGUUCAUCAGGUGGCUAACAAGUGAAAGACAUAUACCUUAGACGAUAGAUUCAAAAACCAGGUCAAUCCACUCUCGUGACAGAGACCCCCAUAACUCUACCACUUCCUAAUCUCAACUCUCGUUGAUGAAACAUAGCAGAGCAGGGUUUAAGCAACAAUCUACCAAAGCCAAUAAGCGGACUAGCCAAUGUCUUGGUCAAGUCUACAAAUCUCUGGAAUUCGUAGAUAACACAUCCAUUUGAACGUCUUUUGGACGCUGGACGUCUAUGAUCAAAUCUCCACAUUAGCCAGCGAAAACCGCAUAGGGGUCAAGCGAAUCCAGAAGGGAUCUAACCUAAUCUUAACCACCUGACUAACCUAGAGAUUACCCUAAUCUAAUUCAUUCUUAAGAACCCUAAUCACUACUCAAGCAACAUAACUAAGAACACAAACCCAUAAAUUACUGAAAUCAUAUCAAAAUGUAGAUCUAAACAAGCUAAACAACUUUACUAAAAUAACUAAGUGCAAAAACAAAAUAGAUUA